rnacentral:rRNA from 1 species
GACGAACCGUGCGAACGUUGUUCGGAAUCACUGGGCUUAAAGGGUGCGUAGGCGGCGCGGUAAGUCGGGUGUGAAAUCUUGGAGCUUAACUCCGAAACUGCAUUCGAUACUGCCGUGCUUGAGGACUGGAGAGGAGACUGGAAUUUACGGUGUAGCGGUGAAAUGCGUAGAUAUCGUAAGGAAGAACAGUGGCGAAGGCGGGUCUCUGGACAGUUCCUGACGCUGAGGCACGAAGGCCAGGGGAGCAAACGGG